GUGGGGAAUCUUGCGCAAUGGGCGAAAGCCUGACGCAGCCAUGCCGCGUGAAUGAUGAAGGUCUUAGGAUUGUAAAAUUCUUUCACCGGGGACGAUAAUGACGGUACCCGGAGAAGAAGCCCCGGCUAACUUCGUGCCAGCAGCCGCGGUAAUACGAAGGGGGCUAGCGUUGCUCGGAAUUACUGGGCGUAAAGGGCGCGUAGGCGGACAGUUUAGUCAGAGGUGAAAGCCGAGGGCUCAACGUUGGAAUUGCCUUUGAUACGGGGUGUAUUGAGUACGGGAGAGGUGAGUGGAACUCCGAGUGUAGAGGUGAAAUUCGUAGAUAUUCGGAAGAACACCAGUGGCGAAGGCGACUCACUGGCCCAAUACUGACGCUGAGGCGCGAAAGCGUGGGGAGCAAACAGGAUUAGAAACCCUAGUAGUCC
rnacentral:rRNA from 1 species